rnacentral:rRNA from 2 species
GGCCGUCCGAGUUGUAAUCUGGAGAAGCGUUUUCAGUGCCGGCCCGCGUACAAGUCCCCUGGAACGGGGCGUCGCAGAGGGUGAGAAUCCCGUCUCUGACGCGGUCAUGUCCGGUGCGUUGCGAUGCGCUCUCGAAGAGUCGAGUUGUUUGGGAAUGCAGCUCAAAACGGGUGGUAAAUUCCAUCUAAAGCUAAAUACUGGCGAAAGACCGAUAGCGAACAAGUACCGUGAGGGAAAGAUGAAAAGCACUUUGGAAAGAGAGUCAAACAGUACGUGAAAUUGUUGAAAGGGAAACGCUUGAAGUCAGUCGCGUCUCUCGGGACUCAGUCGCGCCCCCUUAAAGGGCGCGGCGUACUUCCCGAGUCUGGACGGGCCAGCGUCGAUUUCGACCGUCGUACAAAGGCGUGAGGAACGUGGCACCUUCGGGUGUGUUAUAGCCUCGCGUUCCGUAUGCGACGGUGGGGAUCGAGGAUCGCAGCGCGCCUCUAACGGUCGGGGUUUGCCCACGUAACGCGCUUGGGACGCUGGCUUAAUGGCUUCAAGCGACCCGUCUUGAAACACGGACCAAGGAGUCUAACAUGCUCGCGAGUGUUCGGGUGGAAAACCCGCGCGCGUAAUGAAAGUGAAAGGUUGGGACCCUCUUUUUCGAAAGGGGGGCACCGACGCCCGGACUUGAGCUGCUGCGACGGUUCCGAGGCGGAGCGCGUAUGUUGGGACCCGAAAGAUGGUGAACUAUGCCUGAGUAGGGCGAAGCCAGAGGAAACU